UGCAGAGCAUUGGCAUUGUAUUUAUAUCUAAAUCUCCAGGACUUCUAUGUGCUGUAGUUGCCAACUAUGUCCUUGGAACUGCAUAUUCUAUUGAUCUUCCCUACCUUAGAUGGAAAAGACAUCCUUUACUUUGUAUACCAAGUUCUCUGCUCUGGUUUGCUUUUGGUGUUCAAAUCCCUUAUUUUAUACACAUCCAGAAUUAUGUACUUGGGAGACCAAACUUUAUUACAAAGGCAUUCAUAUAUCAAACAGCAUUGUUCUGUUCAUACUCUAUUGCUGGAGUGAUAUUAAAGGU